GGGGAUGAUUGUUUCGAUGGAUUGUUCUUUAAAAUAAGGCAAGUUGAGCUUCCUUGGGGCUCUUUAAUCUUUCAAGGAAAAACAUAAUUGCUAAUUUAUUUAAUAAGCAACCUGCGUUAGCUUUCGCUUAAUGCGGCAUCUUCACCAUUGACUCCUAAUAAAUGAAUGAAGGUGUUAUAUUAUUAGGAUAGGAAAUUUUAUUCCUCGGGGAAUUUCCGAGAUUUACGAGGAUAAGGCAUUAAAAAUUUUGUUAGUUUUCUAUUUAAUGCUCGAACAUCAAAACUGACUAAACUUGUAGAAUUAUUUUAAAAAACUUUCUAGACGAGGAUUCACCUCCUCCAUCUCCACAA
rnacentral:tmRNA from 13 species